GGGAGGCCAAUUGGCUUGGGCCUUGGACCUCCUCGAGGCGUGCGGGCGGGCAGGGCGCCGGGCAUUCCCGGCAGCCUUCCGAAGCCCGAGGCCGGCUCAAGGAACCCGCAGUCCCCGCCCACGCGGGACCAACCGCCUCCGGCUGCGCCUUCCCCGGCUGUCUGGGGUCCAGACCGCACGCCGCGACCGAGGGAGGCCGGAGACUCACCGGUGCCCAAGGAAGCCAGAGGCAUGGAGUCUUAAGUCUGGCUUCAAAUUCUGAAAUCUCCUGUCUCUGAGCAGUUGUGAAGGGUGGUACAUGCUCUUAACCGCGGGGCCUCUUGCUUGGACUUUCGUUGGAAGUGGAACAAGCUAAAAACUUAUAAGAGAAAUCACAAAAUACAGGCUUGUGGACCAUUGUAGUUCUCUCGUACCUUUGCACGGGCAACUCAAGUCUUCAGUGCGUUACCAGCUGAGCGGCUGUCUCAGUGCUUUAUGGAGAUCACAGGUAAUUGGAUGUAGCCAGAGCUAAGGGAGCUGGAAAGGCUGUCUUCAAACCUACCCAAAGACAUCUUUAGCUCGUGGUCUUAAAAACCUCCGGAUUUUGGGAUUUCUACCUUGAGCUGUCCUGCCUCUCCACCGUUACUGCUUUCACUAAACUCUGUUGUGGUCACUAAAGCUACGCCACUUCCCUUACAGACUUUUUGAUGAUGUGCUGUGGUUUUGGUUGAGAAACAUCUUUUCUCAGCUUACGUGUUACCCUCUCAGAUAUCACAUCUAUCAAUAGGUUACGUCUUUAAAGCAGGGGCUCUUUACCUUCCUAACGCUGCGACCCUUUAUUACAGCUCCUCAUGUUGUGGUGUCCCCCAACCAUAAAAUUAUUUUCAUUGCUUCUUCAUAACUGCAAUGUUGUUACUGCUGUGAAUUGUAAUAUAAAUAUGUGCCAAAGGUUUUCCGAAGGGAUCAAAACCCACAGGUUUGAGAACUACUGCUUUAAGCCAACACUUUUGAGUAAAAUAUCUACUAUGCCAGGCAUACUCUAGGCCUUGCCAAUACAAAACUCUUGUAAGCCAUGGCCCCUACUCUCAAGGAACUUAACUCGUAAUGAGAUUAAAAACCAGAAUUAAAAACAAAAAACCAAACCAAAACCAUCCAACCAACCAACCAAAAUUGCAGGACUAGGCUGAUAAAGUCUGCCUUUAAUCCCAGCACUCUGAAGGCAGAGGUAGGCAGAUCUCUAAUAUAGAGGCCAGGCCAGUCUACAUAGCAGGUUCCAGGGCAGCCAAAGCUACAGAGUAAGAAAGACCCUGUCUCAAAACAAAUCAAACAAAAAACCUCGAAAAUUACCAGCAACUUCAUAUGUGAUAAUUUUGUGUGGAAAUGAGAUCUUAGCUUAGUUUGGUAGUUCUGAAAAUUCAGAACUAGGAAGCAGAACCAGGAGGCUAGUGAACUCAAGAUCACUUGAGUUAGGUGUGACACCGUCUUUGGAGUGGGAAUAUAACACAUAGAAUGAGUGCUUCUUAUUCUGUUCAAGGCCCUAGGUAUGAUUCCUAGGACUGCAAGAAGAAAAAAGAAAACUAUCUUGCAUGUGUUGUUUACAACGGAUUAUUUUGUUGGGGUAAAUAAAUCAGCCUUGUUAUUUUUUG
rnacentral:lncRNA from 1 species